UUGACCUCGGAUCAGGUAGGGAUACCCGCUGAACUUAAGCAUAUCAAAAAGGCGGAGGA
rnacentral:rRNA from 1 species